rnacentral:rRNA from 1 species
GACGAACGCUGGCGGCGUGCUUAACACAUGCAAGUCGAACGGAAAGGCCCUGCUGUUGUGGGGUGCUCGAGUGGCGAACGGGUGAGUAACACGUGAGUAACCUGCCCUUGACUUUGGGAUAACUUCAGGAAACUGGGGCUAAUACCGGAUAGGAGCUCCUGCUGCAUGGUGGGGGUUGGAAAGUUUCGGCGGUUGGGGAUGGACGCGCGGCUUAUCAGCUUGUUGGUGGGGUAGUGGCUUACCAAGGCUUUGACGGGUAGCCGGCCUGAGAGGGUGACCGGCCACAUUGGGACUGAGAUACGGCCCAGACUCCUACGGGAGGCAGCAGUGGGGAAUAUUGCACAAUGGGCGGAAGCCUGAUGCAGCAACGCCGCGUGCGGGAUGACGGCCUUCGGGUUGUAAACCGCUUUCGCCUGUGACGAAGCGUGAGUGACGGUAAUGGGUAAAGAAGCACCGGCUAACUACGUG